UAGACAGCCUCCACUUUGGUUAAUAUACAC
rnacentral:piRNA from 1 species